rnacentral:rRNA from 1 species
UACGAAGGGGCUAGCGUUGCUCGGAAUGACUGGGCGUAAAGGGCGCGUAGGCGGACGGCUUUGUCGGGCGUGAAAUUCCAGGGCUUAAACCUUGGGGUGCGUUCGAGACGGGUUGUCUUGAGUGGGGAAGAGGGUCGUGGAAUUCCCAGUGUAGAGGUGAAAUUCGUAGAUAUUGGGAAGAACACCGGUGGCGAAGGCGGCGACUGGUCCUUGACUGACGCUGAUAGCGAAAGCCAGGGAGCAAACGGG